UGGGGUGGCUGGAAGCUGCAGGUGGGCGGGCGUAUGGCGGCCAGGCCUGGGACGCCACGAGGCCCGCUGGCGCCGUGGGGUCACUCUUCCUGAAGCCAGAAGUCACCAAGGCUGGAAGGGAAGGUCGGGGGCUGUCAGGGCUCAACCCUAGGUGUCGCUGGUGGCGGUGGGCAAACCCACCGGACCGAGGGGACCGCCGCUGAGGCCAGGCGAGGAGGAAGAAAAUGUCUAGGGCCUGGAGGUAGAGAGCCAGGACCCCGAGGAGAGAGAGGGCUUACUGCCCCGAUGCAGAGGAGCAGUCCCAGACGGCGAAGGAGUUGAGGCCCCAGGGAUGCUGCGACCUGCCGAGCUAGAAGGGAUUGCCUGCCAGAGUCUGAAAAUCCCAUCACUUUUGUAAAGGGGUUCAAAGCUGAAACUGUCACAGAACAGAGUGGGACCCGAGACACCUCAGAAGUGCGGCCAGAUGUGUGAGGAGCUGGCUGACAUGAAAGGCAGCUGGUGUGCCCGGCCACAGGGACCUGAGGAGCCUGGUGUGGUCACCCUUCUGUUAAGAUACAUACUUUCGCCAACACCAUGGUUUCUGCUCAGUUUCCCCUCAAUAGCUUCCCUCUGCAUAAGGAGCAGUGAU